UACAGAGGUCCCAAGCGUUGUUCGGAUUCACUGGGCGUAAAGGGUGCGUAGGCGGUCGGGUAAGUCUGACGUGAAAUCUUCAAGCUCAACUUGGAAACUGCAUUCGAUACUGGCGUGCUUGAGGACUGGAGAGGAGACUGGAAUUCAUGGUGUAGCAGUGAAAUGCGUAGAGAUCAUGAGGAAGACCAGUGGCGAAGGCGGGUCUCUGGACAGUUCCUGACACUGAGACACGAAGGCCAGGGGAGCAAACGGG
rnacentral:rRNA from 1 species